rnacentral:lncRNA from 1 species
GGUUUUUGAGUAUGAGGAAGUAGAAACCAAGAGUGAGAUCUAUAACAGGUGAGUCUGAACUGGAAAAUUAAACGUGAGCAACCCUGAAUGCUGGCGAAAAUUCCAACUUCACAGCCAACCCAGGAUUCAUACUCCUUUCUGGUGCGUGUGAGACUCUGAGAGAAAGAGUCACCUAGAGAUUUGAACUUUGGUGGAAAAUCAGCUGACUGCCCAGAAGUCGUGGAGUGGGCAUGGGAUGGAGGAAAGGAGACCUGUGAUUCUUGCACAGCUCAGGAAAAGGCUACUGCCUGUACAGCCUCUGCAGCCUCACCACCAGAAGAGCACUGUGAAUGUUUAUGACAUGCAGGAGAUCGUAAGAGAAAAUAGCAAAGGCAAGUUGUGGAAUAAAAAUUGCAGAGUAUCCUCAGGCAAUCCAGCUGGCACAAGCAAUGGCAUCCUGCCUUUCUCCAUGCUACACAGCUUUGCCAUAACUGGAUGUCCCACGUGAGUGUGGACUGAACCAGAGUCUGGAUUCAUUAACUAAGUAGUCCUCGUGCAAUAAUGUCCUUGUCACCCUCCACUGAGGAGCAAAAGAAGCCUGAAAUGGGAGCAUCUCAUGUCCUGGACUUCUGCGGGAGCUCUGCAUUGUGUGAGCAUAACACUAAGUAAUUUCUUGUGUCUGUCAGAUUUAAUUGCAAGCAUUUUCAGAGCACAGCAAUGAAAUAGCUAGCAACAGAUCUCCAGUGCAAAACUAAUCUAUGCCACUCAUUUUUUUCAUCUUGAUACAGAUUUGAUACAGUGACAGACCAACUGCAUUAGAAAUUAGGCUUGGUGAGUAG